AGUGAACGCUGGCGGUAGGCCUAACACAUGCAAGUCGAACGGCAGCACAGUAAGAGCUUGCUCUUACGGGUGGCGAGUGGCGGACGGGUGAGGAAUACAUCGGAAUCUACUUUUUCGUGGGGGAUAACGUAGGGAAACUCACGCUAAUACCGCAUACGACCUACGGGUGAAAGCAGGGGAUCUUCGGACCUUGCGCGAUUGAAUGAGCCGAUGUCGGAUUAGCUAGUUGGCGGGGUAAGGCCCACCAAGGCGACGAUCCGUAGCUGGUCUGAGAGGAUGAUCAGCCACACUGGAACUGAGACACGGUCCAGACUCCUACGGGAGGCAGCAGUGGGGAAUAUUGGACAAUGGGCGCAAGCCUGAUCCAGCCAUACCGCGUGGGUGAAGAAGGCCUUCGGGUUGUAAAGCCCUUUUGUUGGGAAAGAAAAGCAGCAGGUUAAUACCCCGCUGUUCUGACGGUACCCAAAGAAUAAGCACCGGCUAACUUCGUG
rnacentral:rRNA from 1 species